rnacentral:rRNA from 1 species
CCAAUAGCGUAUAUUAAAGUUGUUGCAGUUAAAAAGCUCGUAGUUGAAUUUCGGGGUCAGUAGGUUGGUCGUGCCUAUGGUAUGUACUGGCCUUACUGAUUCCUCCCUCUUGACGAACUGUGAUGCCAUUAAUUUGGUGUUGCAGGGAAUCAGGACUGUUACUUUGAAAAAAUUAGAGUGUUUAAAGCAGGCUAACGCUUGAAUACAUUAGCAUGGAAUAAUGAAAUAGGACGUUUAUCCUAUUUUGUUGGUUUCUAGGAUUGACGUAAUGAUUAAUAGGGAUAGUUGGGGGCAUUAGUAUUCAAUUGUCAGAGGUGAAAUUCUUGGAUUUAUUGAAGACUAACUACUGCGAAAGCAUUUGCCAAGGAUGUUUUCAUUAAUCAAGAACGAAAGUUAGGGGAUCGAAGACGAUCAGAUACCGUCGUAGUCUUAACCAUAAACGAUGCCGACUAGGGAUCGGAUGAUGUUAAUUUUUUAAUGACUCAUUCGGCGCCUUACG